UCAAGAAACUUCCACAAUGGGCGAAAGCCUGAUCGAGCGACGCCGCGUGCAGGAUGAAGGCCCUCGGGUUGUAAACUGCGGUAGUAGGGGAGGAACGCAAGUGACUGUACCCUACGGAAAGUGGUUGGUAACUACGUGCCAGCACCAGCGGUAAUACGUAGACCACAAGCGUUAUCCGGAUUUAUUGGGCGUAAAGAGCAUGUAGGAGGUCCGGUGCGUCUCUGGUUAAAGCCCACCGCCUAACGGUGGAAGUGCCAGAGAUACGAUCGGACUGGAGGAUGUGAGAGGUGCAUGGAACUCACGGUGUAGGGGUGAAAUCCGUUGAUAUCGUGGGGAACACCAAAGGCGAAGGCAGCGCACUGGCCAAAAUCUGACGCUCACACACGAAAGCUAGGGUAGCGAAGAGGAUUAGAUACCCAGGUAGUCCCUGAGCGGGCUGGCAAGGCGCAU
rnacentral:rRNA from 1 species